rnacentral:ncRNA from 1 species
AUAAAGACGUGAAGAAAGAGGAGUAAGAUUUUUCAAUCUGACAGUGAAUCGGGAAUGGUGAGAACCCGAGCAGUUGAGAAAUUUCUGAAUAACACUUUCCAAGUUGCUAGCUGAAAUGAUUUCAAAUUAGGCUAAGCCGUGUUACCGGUACGUUAUCAUCCGGGAGAGUAUGUUUGUACUCUUAUUGAGGUGGCUUAUUUAAAUAUAAGCAAUCUGGGUGGUACCGCGAAGUCUUUCGUCCCUUAU